AUUGGUAUUAACAAUACUAGCUGAAAAAGAGAUAAGGUACUUACACCAAAAGAGUAAUCGGCCUAAGGGAGUUUCAGAUUUUCGACUUUUAAACUGAUAUGGUGAAUAAGUUUUUUUGGCACAAAUUAAAUAAGAAGGGUAGAAGAAGGAAUCGGCUAACCCAAAGGGAAAAUUAAAAGAUAUUUGAGGAGAGAAAGAAUGGCAAAAGAAUCAGCUAGCAAAGAUGGAAAAGCCAAUCGGCAUUACAAAAAAAAUGAAGAAUUCGGCAUUAGCCUAGGAUCCCAA
rnacentral:lncRNA from 1 species